rnacentral:rRNA from 1 species
AUUCCAGCUCCAAUAGCGUAUAUUAAAGUUGUUGCAGUUAAAAAGCUCGUAGUUGGAUUUCUGGUGGAAGUGACCGGUCUGUCCCUAGUGGAUGUGAACUUGUGUCUACUUUUGCCAUCCUUGGGGAGAGCGUGCCUGGCAUUAGGUUGUCGGGUUCGGGAUCCCCAUCCUUUACUGUGAAAAAAUUAGAGUGUUUAAAGCAGGCUUAUGCCAUUGAAUACAUUAGCAUGGAAUAACGCGAGAGGACUCGGUCCUUAUUUUGUUGGUCUUCAAGGAUGGAGUAAUGAUUAAGAGGGACAGUUGGGGGCAUUCGUAUUUCAUUGCUAGAGGUGAAAUUCUUGGAUUUAUGAAAGACGAACUUCUGCGAAAGCAUUUGCCAAGGAUGUUUUCAUUA